AUGCCGAGGAUGCGAGCGUUAUCCGGCUUGAUUGGGCUUACAGCGUCUGUUGGUGGCUUAGGAUGUCUCCUGUGAAAGAUCAGGGCUUGACCCUGGCCCGGCACGAAACACUCUUACGCUAGAUUUUGCUAUGGGCCUAGGGAAUUCCCGGUGGAGCCGUAAUAUGGCUAGAGAUCGUGAAGAACUCCAAUGGCAAAUGCACUCUCCUGGGCCAUAGCUGACUCUUACACACAAAUGCAAGCUGAGCAAAAGGGAUUAGAUACCCCUGAUAGUCCUCACCUACCCCGAUGGACCCUACCUGUUGCGAAGGUUAAAUCACUCACUAUCUUCACUGACUCUUGAUGAACCCCGCCUGGAGAUUAUCCUCCCGAGAAUGACACUCACAUGAAUUGACCGCAAAUGAAUUGACGG
rnacentral:rRNA from 1 species